rnacentral:rRNA from 1 species
UACGGGGGGGGCAAGCGUUGUUCGGAAUUACUGGGCGUAAAGGGCUCGUAGGUGGCCAACUAAGUCAGACGUGAAAUCCCUCAGCUUAACUGGGGAACUGCGUCUGAUACUGGAUGGCUUGAGAUUGGGAGAGGGAUGCGGAAUUCCAGGUGUAGCGGUGAAAUGCGUAGAUAUCUGGAGGAACACCGGUGGCGAAGGCGGCAUCCUGGACCGGUAUUGACGCUGAUGCGCGAAAGCGUGGGUAGCAAACAGG